CCUACGGGGGGCAGCAGUGGGGAAUAUUGGUCAAUGGGCGCGAGCCUGACCCAGCAACGCCGCGUGAAGGAAGAAGGCUUUCGGGUUGUAAACUUCUUUUCUCAGGGACGAAGCAAGUGACGGUACCUGAGGAAUAAGCCACGGCUAACUACGUGCCAGCAGCCGCUGUAAUACGUAGGUGGCAAGCGUUAGCCGGAUUUACUGGGUGUAAAGGGCGUGUAGGCGGGACUGCAAGUCAGAUGUGAAACCCACGGGCUCAACCGGUGGCCUGCAUUUGACACUGUAGUUCUUGAGUACUGGAGAGGCAGACGGAAUUCCUAGUGUAGCGGUGAAAUGCGUAGAUAUUAGGAGGAACACCAGUGGCGAAGGCGGUCUGCUGGACAGCAACUGACGCUGAGGCGCGAAAGCGUGGGGAGCAAACAGGAUUAGAUACCCUGGUAGUC
rnacentral:rRNA from 1 species